UAGGGAAUCUUCCACAAUGGACGCAAGUCUGAUGGAGCAACGCCGCGUGAGUGAAGAAGGUUUUCGGACCGUAAAGCUCUGUUGUUGGUGAAGAAGGAUAGAGGUAGUAACUGGCCUUUAUUUGACGGUAAUCAACCAGAAAGUCACGGCUAACUACGUGCCAGCAGCCGCGGUAAUACGUAGGUGGCAAGCGUUGUCCGGAUUUAUUGGGCGUAAAGCGAGCGCAGGCGGAAGAAUAAGUCUGAUGUGAAAGCCCUCGGCUUAACCGAGGAAUUGCAUCGGAAACUGUUUUCUUGAGUGCAGAAGAGGAGAGUAGAACUCCAUGUGUAGCGGUGGAAUGCGUAGAUAUAUGGAAGAAUACCAGUGGCGAAGGCGGCUCUCUGGUCUGCAACUGACGCUGAGGCUCGAAAGCAUGGGUAGCGAACAGGAUUAGAUACCCUGGUAGUCCAUGCCGUAAACGAUGAGUGCUAAGUGUUGGGAGGCUUCCGCCUCUCAGUGCUGCAGCUAACGCAUUAAGCACUCCGCUUGGGGGAGUACGACCGCAAGGUUGAAAC
rnacentral:rRNA from 1 species